rnacentral:rRNA from 1 species
GAUGAACGCUAGCGGGAGGCCUAACACAUGCAAGCCGAGCGGUAGAGUUCCUUCGGGAACUUGAGAGCGGCGUACGGGUGCGUAACACGUGUGCAACCUACCUUUAUCUGGGGGAUAGCCUUUCGAAAGGAAGAUUAAUACCCCAUAAUAUAAUGAUUGGCAUCAAUUAUUAUUGAAAACUCCGGUGGAUAGAGAUGGGCACGCGCAAGAUUAGAUAGUUGGUGAGGUAACGGCUCACCAAGUCAAUGAUCUUUAGGGGUCCUGAGAGGGAGAUCCCCCACACUGGUACUGAGACACGGACCAGACUCCUACGGGAGGCAGCAGUGAGGAAUAUUGAACAAUGGGUGAAAGCCUGAUCCAGCCAUCCCGCGUGAAGGAUGACGGUCCUAUGGAUUGUAAACUUCUUUUGUACAGGGAUAAACCUACUCUCGUGAGGGUAGCUGAAGGUACUGUACGAAUAAGCACCGGCUAACUCCGUG